UACAGAGACUGCAAGCGUUAUUCGGAUUCACUGGGCGUAAAGGGUGCGCAGGCGGUUGGGUGUGUCAGAUGUGAAAUCCCGAGGCUCAACCUCGGAACUGCGUCUGAAACUACUCGACUAGAGUACUGGAGAGGGUAACGGAAUUCACGGUGUAGCAGUGAAAUGCGUUGAUAUCAUCAGGAACUCCGGUGGCGAAGGCGGCUCGCUGGACCUCUUCUGACGCUGAGGCGCGAAAGCUAGGGGAGCAAACGGG
rnacentral:rRNA from 1 species